rnacentral:rRNA from 1 species
GGUGAACGCUGGCGGCAGGCCUAACACAUGCAAGUCGAACGCCCUAGCAAUAGGGAGUGGCGCACGGGUGCGUAACGCGUGGGAAUAUGCCCUUGACUACGGAACAACGUCGGGAAACUGACGCUAAUACCGUAUAAUGACUCCGGUCCAAAGAUUUAUCGGUCAAGGAUUAGCCCGCGUUAGAUUAGCUAGUUGGUGAGGUAAUGGCUCACAAAGGCGACGAUCUAUAGGGGGUCUGAGAGGAUGAUCCCCCACACUGGGACUGAGACACGGUCCAGACUCAUACGGGAGGCAGCAGUGAGGAAUAUUGGACAAUGGGCGCAAGCCUGAUCCAGCCAUGCCGCGUGAAUGAUGAAGGCCUUCGGGUUGUAAAGUUCUUUCGGCGGAGAAUAUAAUGAAUGUAUCCGCAUAAGAAGCCCCGGCUAAAUUCGUGCCAGCCGCCGCCGUAA